GCAGAAAGCAUGAUUGGUCUCGGUGAAGCAACUAAAUGUGCACAAAUUGUCAAGGCAUGCAGUAGUGAUGAAGAUGGUUUGCUUGGUUUUGACGUACAUAGUGAUGGCCAUGGCCAAAGGCAACUAACUGUUCUAGCAAGAGAUGAGCGAAUGGAGAUCACCUCAAGCAUGAAUGGUGCUCCUCUGUUCCCUCCAAAGAAGAAAUAUUUUUCUUGUAUCGAAAUGAAUGGU